GUUUCCACUUCAGGUGCGACAGAAGGGUGAACUCCACCUCACCUCCUGGCUACAGAGUGCGGUGACGCCAGCACAGAGCUCUGCUCAACGUCCCUCUGUGCUUUCACGCUGCUGAUGGAUUAUGAAGUCCACAGACAGCAAGGGCAGUAUCACUGCAGUGGCAGUUGCAGAUGGAGUUUCAGUCGCCUCUAGGAGCUCCACCCCACAGAAACACAGACAGCAGCCAGUGGAAAUGUUCAGCUGAGUGUGAGGUGCCUGCACUGUGGGCCCAAACCAGGAGCCCUGCCUGGUGAAGAGUAGCAGAUGAGGAAGCGGGCGCAUAGCAAGUUUAAAUAACUUGCAGAAGGACACACAGUUUGCAAGUGAAGGAGCUCAAAUUCAAAGACUGGCAGUCUGCAUCCAGAGUUGAUCGU
rnacentral:lncRNA from 1 species